rnacentral:rRNA from 1 species
UCAAGAAACUUCCACAAUGGGCGAAAGCCUGAUGGAGCGACGUCGCGUGAUGGACGAAGUGCUUCGGCACGUAAACAUCUUUUAUGUGGGAUGAAAUUAUUGACAGUACCACAUGAAUAAGGGGCUCCUAACUCUGUGCCAGCAGGAGCGGUAAUACAGAGGCCCCAAGCGUUAUCCGGAAUCACUGGGCGUAAAGGGUGUCGAGGCGGUUGUAUUAGUCGUUCGUAAAAUCUACGAGCUUAACUUGUAGGCGGCGAACGAAACGGUACGACUUGAGGUUUGGAGAGGUGCGUGGAACUCACGGUGUAGGGGUGAAAUCCGUUGAUAUCGUGGGGAACACCAAAGGCGAAGGCAGCGCACUGGCCAAAAUCUGACGCUCACACACGAAAGCUAGGGUAGCGAAGAGGAUUAGAUACCCAAGUAGUCCCUGAGCGGGCUGGCA